AGCUUUGCGCAGUGGCAGUAUCGUAGCCAAUGAGGUUUAUCCGAGGCGCGAUUAUUGCUAAUUGAAAACUUUUCCCAGAAUCCAGUCAGUAUAAAUUUGACGUACUUUCACGUUAAGGU
rfam:Rattus norvegicus chromosome 14, whole genome shotgun sequence.